UACAGAGGGGGCGAGCGUUGUUCGGAAUUACUGGGCGUAAAGGGCGCGUAGGCGGCCCGCUAAGUCGAACGUGAAAUCCCCAGGCUCAACCUGGGAACUGCGUCCGAUACUGGCAGGCUUGAAUCCGGGAGAGGGAUGUGGAAUUCCAGGUGUAGCGGUGAAAUGCGUAGAUAUCUGGAGGAACACCGAUGGCGAAGGCAGGUCUCUGGGCCGAUACUGACGCUGAGGAGCGAAAGCGUGGGGAGCGAACAGG
rnacentral:rRNA from 1 species